ACGGGGGGGGCAAGCGUUGUUCGGAAUUACUGGGCGUAAAGGGCUCGUAGGCGGCCAACUAAGUCGGAUGUGAAAUCCCCAGGCUUAACUUGGGAAUGGCAUCCGAUACUGGAUGGCUUGAAUCCGGGAGAGGGAUGCGGAAUUCCAGGUGUAGCGGUGAAAUGCGUAGAUAUCUGGAGGAACACCGGUGGCGAAGGCGGCAUCCUGGACCGGCAUUGACGCUGAGGCGCGAAAGCCAGGGGAGCAAACGGGA
rnacentral:rRNA from 1 species